rnacentral:rRNA from 1 species
UAGCUAGUUGGUGGGGUAAGGGCCUACCAAGGCGACGAUCGGUAGCUGGUCUGAGAGGAUGACCAGCCACACUGGAACUGAGACACGGUCCAGACUCCUACGGGAGGCAGCAGUGGGGAAUAUUGGACAAUGGGGGCAACCCUGAUCCAGCAAUGCCGCGUGUGUGAAGAAGGCCUGAGGGUUGUAAAGCACUUUCAGUGGGGAGGAGGGUUGAUAGGUUAAGAGCUAAUUAACUGGACGUUACCCACAGAAGAAGCACCGGCUAACUCCGUGCCAGCAGCCGCGGUAAUACGGAGGGUGUGAGCGUUAAUCGGAAUUACUGGGCGUAAAGGGUGCGUAGGUGGUUGAUUAAGUUAUCUGUGAAAUUCCUGGGCUUAACCUGGGACGGUCAGAUAAUACUGGUUGACUCGAGUAUGGGAGAGGGUAGUGGAAUUUCCGGUGUAGCGGUGAAAUGCGUAGAGAUCGGAAGGAACACCAGUGGCGAAGGCGGCUACCUGGCCUAAUACUGACACUGAGGCACGAAAGCGUGGGGAGCAAACAGGAUUAGAUACCCUGGUAGUCCACGCUGUAAACGAUGUCAACUAGCUGUUGGUUAUAUGAAAAUAAUUAGUGGCGC